UGGAUCUCUCAGGCACCUUGUCCCUGCUAGGCCCUUGGGAGAGGUGAAAAUAAAAGCUUGCUUCCUUUGUGAGCACUCAGUCACAAAGUGGGGGAAGAAUUACACAUUAUUUCAAAGGAAUUGCUCUGCUGUUCAAAGAAUGAAGGGGUUGGGUCAUUUAUUUUUUCUAGCUAGAUUCUAGUUCCAGUCUUUAUUGCAAGUCCUUCCCAAAGGUGUGCAUACAGACUUGGUGAAUAGUGAGUUGCAAAAAUGUAUUUUGACAUUUGAGGCUCUUAUAGUAUUUCAACUUGUAUUUGCAUAGGAGUCUUCACACUGUUCUAGGCCCAGAGUUUGUUGAAUGAAUGAAUGAAUGAAUGAAUGAAUGAAUGAAUGAAAGAAAUAUGGUCCUAACAGCUUUUCAACCUUCUUUUUUUAUAUUUUAUUUUUAAUUGUGUGUGUGUGUGUGUGUGUGUGUGUGUGUGUGUGUGUGUGCUUACAGAAGCUGGAAGAGAGCACCAGACCCCCUGGAACUGGCCUAUGAGGCAGUUGUGAGCUACAUGGUAUGAGUGUUGAGAACUGAUCUUGCUUCUUCUAGAAGAGCACAACUCCCAAUUGCCCUCCUCAGAAUCCCCACAAAGAUAGUGUCCGUCAUCCUACUUUACUAAAGAGACAGCUAAGGCUCAGAAAGGUUAAGGAGUAGAGAGGGAAGUGAGCAUGAUCAAGGUGCAUGGUCUGGUGUGAGAAACCAUCCUUAUGAUCCUAGCACUAUGUACAGUGAAUAUACACCAAUUUAAAAAAAAAAAAGAGAGAGGCAACUGAGUCACCUAAGCUAACAGUGACAAGUUAAAGACCACCAGCAUC
rnacentral:lncRNA from 1 species